GUGACCUCAAAUCAGGUAGGACUACCCGCUGAACUUAAGCAUAUCAAUAAGCGGAGGAAAAGAAACUAACAAGGAUUCCCCUAGUAACUGCGAGUGAAGCGGGAAAAGCUCAAAUUUAAAAUCUGGCGGUCUUUUGGCUGUCCGAGUUGUAAUCUAGAGAAGUGUUAUCCGCGCUGGACCGUGUACAAGUCUCCUGGAAUGGAGCAUCAUAGAGGGUGAGAAUCCCGUCUUUGACAUGGACUGCCAGGGCUUUUGUGAUGCGCUCUCAAAGAGUCGAGUUGUUUGGGAAUGCAGCUCAAAAUGGGUGGUAAAUUCCAUCUAAAGCUAAAUAUUGGCGAGAGACCGAUAGNGAACAAGUACCGUGAGGGAAAGAUGAAAAGAACUUUGGAAAGAGAGUUAAACAGUACGUGAAAUUGCUGAAAGGGAAACGCUUGAAGUCAGUCGCGUUGUCCAGGGAUCAACCUCGCUUUUGCUUGGUGCACUUCCUGGUUCGACGGGUCAGCAUCAAUUUUGACCGUUGGAAAAAGAUCAGGGGAAUGUGGCAUCUCUGGAUGUGUUUAUAGCCCUUGGUCACAUACAACGGUUCGGGAUUGAGGAACUCAGCACGCCGCAAGGCCGGGUUUUUAAACCACGUACGUGCUAGGAUGCU
rnacentral:rRNA from 1 species